rnacentral:rRNA from 1 species
AGAGUUUGAUCCUGGCUCAGGAUGAACGCUAGCGGGAGGCUUAACACAUGCAAGUCGAGGGGCAGCAUUACUUUCGGGUAGAUGGCGACCGGCGCACGGGUGAGUAGCGCGUAUGCAACCUACCUUUUACAGAGGGAUAGCCCAGAGAAAUUUGGAUUAAUACCUCAUGGCACUGUCAAAUCGCAUGAUUUGACAGUUAAAGUUUCGGCGGUAAAAGAUGGGCAUGCGUGACAUUAGAUUGUUGGCGGGGUAACGGCCCACCAAGUCUGCGAUGUCUAGGGGUUCUGAGAGGAUGAUCCCCCACACUGGUACUGAGACACGGACCAGACUCCUACGGGAGGCAGCAGUGAGGAAUAUUGGUCAAUGGGCGCAAGCCUGAACCAGCCAUCCCGCGUGAAGGAUGACGGUCCUAUGGAUCGUAAACUUCUUUUAUGUACCAAGAAUGUGCCCUACGUGUAGGGUUUUGACGGUAGUACAUGAAUAAGCAUCGGCUAACUCCGUGCCAGCAGCCGCGGUAAUACGGAGGAUGCGAGCGUUAUCCGGAUUCAUUGGGUUUAAAGGGUGCGUAGGCGGCUUCUUAAGUCAGUGGUGAAAUCCUGCGGCUCAACCGUAGAACUGCCAUUGAAACUGAGAAGCUUGAAUCUAGUUGAGGUAGGCGGAAUGAGUAGUGUAGCGGUGAAAUGCUUAGAGAUUACUCAGAACACCGAUUGCGAAGGCAGCUUACUAAACUAUAAUUGACGCUGAGGCACGAAAGCGUGGGGAGCGAACAGGAUUAGAUACCCUGGUAGUCCACGCCGUAAACGAUGUUCACUCGCUGCUUGCGAUACAUAGUAAGUGGCCAAGCGAAAGCAUUAAGUGAACCACCUGGGAGUACGUCGGCAACGGUGAAACUCUAAGGAAUUGACGGGGGCCCGCACAAGCGGAGGAACAUGUGGUUUAAUUCGAUGAUACGCGAGGAACCUUACCUGGGCUUAAAUGUAGAUUGCAUGUGGUGGAAACACCCUUCUCUUCGGAGCUAUUUACAAGGUGCUGCAUGGUUGUCGUCAGCUCGUGCCGUGAGGUGUCGGGUUAAGUCCCAUAACGAGCGCAACCCCUAUCGUUAGUUGCCAUCAGGUUAAGCUGGGGACUCUAACGAGACUGCCACCGUAAGGUGAGAGGAAGGUGGGGAUGACGUCAAAUCAGCACGGCCCUUAUGUCCAGGGCUACACACGUGUUACAAUGGCAGGUACAAAGGGCAGCUACACCGCGAGGUGAUGCUAAUCUCAAAAGCCUGUCUCAGUUCGGAUCGGAGUCUGCAACUCGACUCCGUGAAGUUGGAUUCGCUAGUAAUCGUAGAUCAGCAAUGCUACGGUGAAUACGUUCCCGGGCCUUGUACACACCGCCCGUCAAACCAUGGAAGCUGGGGGGACCUGAAGUCUGUCACCGCAAGGAGCGGCCUAGGGUAAAACCGGUAACUGGGGUUAAGUCGGAACAAGGUA